rnacentral:rRNA from 1 species
CCUACGGGAGGCAGCAGUGGGGAAUAUUGCACAAUGGGGGAAACCCUGAUGCAGCGACGCCGCGUGAGUGAAGAAGUAUUUCGGUACGUAAAGAUCUAUCAGCAGGGAAGAAAAUGACGGUACCUGACUAAGAAGCCCCGGCUAACUACGUGCCAGCAGCAGCGGUAAUACGUAGGGGGCAAGCGUUAUCCGGAUUUACUGGGUGUAAAGGGAGCGUAGACGGCAGCGCAAGUCUGGAGUGAAAUCCCAUGGCUUAACCAUGGAACUGCUUUGGAAACUGUGCAGCUAGAGUGCAGGAGAGGUAAGCGGAAUUCCUAGUGUAGCGGUGAAAUGCGUAGAUAUUAGGAGGAACACCAGUGGCGAAGGCGGCUUACUGGACUGUAACUGACGUUGAGGCUCGAAAGCGUGGGGAGCAAACAGGAUUAGAUACCCGAGUAGUC